AUAAAAGGAGAGGGGCCUUCAUUGACCUAUUUAACAAGAGGAGCAUUGUGGACACCCUCCCAAAUGAAACCAGGAUGGCCGUGCUGGCUGGCGUGUGGCCUGCGGUGUUGAGGAGUGACAACGAGACAGUGGUGGACACGUGGCUCAGCGCACGUCUGUCGCAAUAUUUCAGUUUUAUCCAAGGCAACAUACUGAACUUCAGCGGGACCCGGAACGCCAGCUGCACAGCGUUCCGCAAGAUCGUGGGCAAACUGAGCAAUAAC